rnacentral:lncRNA from 10 species
CAGAGCGAGCUUCGGAGAAGCAGUGGUGGGUUCCAUGUGAUGGUGGAGUAGGAGGCAGGUCUCCGCGCUACUUUGAAACAUAUGGUACAUUUGUGUUAAGGCUAGUCACCCUGCUGUGGAAUAGAAGGCCAGAAUUGAUCAGUCUCAUCUGAGAGUAACUUUGUACCCAUCACUGAUUCCUUCUGAGACUGCCUCCACUUCCCCAGCAGCCUCUGGUUUCUUCAUGUGGCUGCAGAUGGCAGGAUUUCCCAAAGGUUUCUGGCUGAAACAUAUUCCGUGGUGUAUCUGUACAGCAGUUUCCUCAUCCCUGCAGCUGUGUUUGAACAGGUCAUUUACCAUGCUGUCCUCCAGGUUCAACAGUAUGGCUCCAAAGGAUGAAAUUUCAUUCUGAUUUUCUGGCUGAAGACUAUUCUCUUUGUGUAUGUCCACCACAGUUACUUUAUCCCUUCAUCUGUGGAUGGGCAGUCUCGCUGUAUUGCCCAGGCUGGAGUGCAGUGGCAUGAUCUCAGCUCACUGCAAGCUCUGCUUCCUGGGUUCACGCCAUUCUCCUGCCUCAGCCUCCUGAGUAGCUGGGAUUACAGGCACCCGCCACCACGCCCAGGUAA